ensembl:lncRNA
CACUAUUUAGGCUUCAGGAGCCUGACUUCAAUCACUGACUACACCCAGAUGAGAUACCCUGAGCACGAACUGACUGCACUCAACAGCACAGAAAUGUAUGAAAUGCUCCAUGUCGUCACAGAGGCAUGUGCUUCCCAUCGAGAGACAAGGUUUGGCACUUUCUCUUCUUCCAGAAAUACAACUCAUAUUCAGCUUUGAAGUAUUGCUUGGGAGUUCUCAUCUUUGAUGUGACAAGUCACUUCUUGUCUCUCUGUUCUUAUAGUGUGUCCUUUCCAGUGCAUGACAACCAGAAGGGUUUCCAGACAAUGAGACAGUUCCAGCAGAACAAGACUACCAACACAGCUUAUUUUCUCAAAAAGAAAAUACUGACAUCCUUUAUGUGGAAUUAAUUGAAAAAUAAUACAGUGAGUGUAUCUAUCAUUGCUUCCCCCUUUUGAAAACCUCUAUUGUUAUUUAACACACAAAGCAAUGAACCUGCUAAAACACUAGACAUAUUGGAAC